rnacentral:lncRNA from 1 species
GGGGGGGGGGUUUGGGCUCAGUGUUACUGUUCACUUUGUAAGGAUUGGUGAAAAAUGGCCUCUUAAGCGUGAAUAUGCCUGGUAGCCUAAUGUAUAUAAGUUCCUCACUCGAUAUCCUUGCCUUCCAAUAAGUAGCAGUGAGUUUUUCUGGAUUUCUUUUCUACUUCAAGUCUUCAAGUAUGGGGCUUCAUACCUUUCAAGUGGUUGUUUGCAUCAAAUGUUGCUUGUCCUAAUGACUUCUAUGAAGCACAUAUACACACAAAAAUAUGACAUGACACAACUUUUCAAGAAAGCAGGACACUUGCACUUGUACACUCAUCUACUAAAAUUUUAUAUUUAUUCAUGUUGUAUUUUCAUGUAAAACUUUAAAUCAAUGCAAUUAAUACUCUUUAUUGCUAUUAUUUUAAACUUUUGAAGCGAAGACUUUUGAAUUCAGCGAGGAUUUGUAGCACAUAGUAUCGUUCCCCAUGCGGACCAAGACAAAAUUUUUAUUUGUUCAAACAACGAUUAAGGUGAAUUAUGGUCAGGAACAACAAAUCUUUUUAUGAUGAAGAGAUCCAUUUUUCAAGCUUGCAGUGGAAACAAAUUGAAAAUAUUCAUGAAUCAUAAGUUCCAUGUCAUGUAUAAAAAAAUUCGUUGUGAAGUUCAUACAAUUUUUCUCACAUUCUGUUGAUUCUUUUACGCCAAUAGUUUCUUAAUUAAGCUUUUUAAGUUUGUAUUCUAGAAUUUACCAAAUUGGGCUCAUUAGUCCUUGUGUUUGAGGACACGUACAUCACAUUUUAGAAAUUAAAUUGAAAAACAUAUAAAUACAGGAAAUAAUACCACAUAACGUGUCAGCCAUGUGUCGGAGAAAUUAAAUAUGUGACCUAGAGUGUUAAGGAGAUGAAGAAAUUGGAUGUGUCACAAGAGUGUCAAGGAGUCGAUGUCUUGUUGGACAGGGACAUGGUACACUAGGAGGAGGAUCCAUGGUUCACACAUUCUUAAUGUUCCAGUUCAUGAGUCAGUGGACAAGAUUGGUCAAGGUUUUAGGCACGAAGUCUUAACGGUUACUUAAAGACGGCAUAUACCGUUCUUGGGAUAGCAUUCAGCAUGAUUAUAUGGACGAAAUGUGUACGAAUUAACGAAAAAUUGACAUAAAUGGAUUGCAAUAAACUGAUGUUUGCUGCUGAAAAGAAGGGGAAAACAGAACCUGGAUAUAUGAACAUAAAUUCCAAUAGCCAUAUGUAGACUUAGUUUUCUUUUGAUUGAAACUAGUAACUAAUUAAUAUAUGAAGGAACAUUUGAGCCAGUUUUAGUAUCUCAUUAAUUGAAUUAUUCGUAUCUUGUCUGAACAUGUUGAUUAUAUGAUGCUCUUAGUAUCUGCGGAAGAUAUGUAUCUCUUCAAUUAAUUCAAGGGAUAAAGGUAGCGGCUGAGAUAAUUUUAAAGAGUUGUCAAUGUAUAUCUUCUUAAAAAGAAGAAUGUGUGUGUUGGUUUUCUGGGUUUUUAUCAAGCUUAUCUGAGGGAUCAUUUUUCGGUUUGCAAAUCAAUUUUCUUCUUUACUGGUUGAUGGUGAUAGACUCUGCUUGCCUUUGGCUAUUGUAUAUUUGGUAUCUUAUCGAGAUUGUUUAUGGAGUGUUGAAGGUAGUCAAGUUUUGAAGUUCAUUUCACCUUGUGUACCAAAAGACUUCUAUGGAAUAUAAUCUGGUUGAUUUUCUCUCCAUUGUAAUGCUUUCUUCGUUAGGAACCUUUUCAUAGGCUUGAGUCACUGAGGGAAUUUCUUCAUUCAGAUUGACAUGUGUGCAUGUCUUAAUGGUUCUGAAGUGCUUUCCAGAAGGAUGAUAAUAAUGAUAGUGAACUUUUAAUCCAAAGAACAAUGAUAGAAUUUGGAAGUUCAUUUGGAUUUUGAGGUGAGCGUAUUAGAUUUUGGAUCAUGCUACAUGUACAAGUUUUUUUUACAGACUCUCAUACUCACUAUUCACAAUGGGGAUGGGGUUACAAGCCGACGUUUUUUAAAUUCACGUGGGGUCCGUUAAUUUUGUAAGAGUGAGUACACUAUUUUGUCAAAUAUCUUUAUCCUUAGAUUUUCGUGCAUGACAUUUUAUUAGAUUUAUAUGAAAAAUUGAAAGAGAG